rnacentral:ribozyme from 14 species
GACGAGAAAAAAAUGCAUCAUGAAAACAUAAGCAUGCUAUGUGUAUGCUACAUUACUUACUGCCGCUUUCCUUUGCUCUUCUCUCUCUGCCUCUUUCUUUUCAUCAA